AUUAAGUACAGUAUGGCCGUUGCGAUACUGGUGAAAUCUUUUUGGUAGAUAUUAAUAUGUGAAUGACUUUAAUUGUUUGCAUAAUUGUGAUCAUGAACGAUGCAAUUCAUGACGAAAUAGUAGUUUUGUCAUCAGAGCGGGUAGAAAUAUCGGAAUUUCUAUUUGAGGAAACGCCGUCUACCCAGAAUUCCUCUUACUCUAAACGAGUCGACGCAUCGGAACUGAGGCGGAGACGGAUCGCCCGGAUUGUCGGGGCCGUAGCGAUCUUCUUCAUCGUGUUCAGCUGUGUGUUGUUAGGAAUCUCAUUCAAUAUGUCCGAUGAUAUCAACGACAAAGCGUUCUACGGAAGCACAAUCUGCCUGUAAACCCACAGGAACACGUGACCAACGAAUCUUAUUUCAACUGACGACCUGGCGCCAAAUGUGUGUUCAUGAUUUGACGAUGUUUGACAAAUAUGCAACGAAUUGAAACGAAUCACUGCAGAGCCAAUUAUUGAUAGCUGAUGUGAAACGACGCGAACGGCCUGGGUGUGAGCUGAUCAGCUUUUCUUUCAGAUAGCAGUUUCAAGCGUGUGUUCGAUAAGAAAAGGCGUUUAUAAACCGAGCAUCAUUUGGAUCCACGGCAUUUGCAGUGAUCUACUUGUGCAUGGACCAAAUAUGCACAACGAUUUGAUUUGAUCUCGUACUUUGUAAUUGUUUUGUUUUCUGUUGGUUUUUUCCUUUGAAAAACUUAACCAAGAGUAAACUACCUUGUCUUUAUCAAUAGAGUAGAUUAAUUCGUGACAUUAAUGUUUGUAAAGGAAAAAUACAGUGUUCAACUGAACGUGAAAUGCUUUGCGUUAGCUCAGUCAAAGAGAGUUGAAAACAGCGUAGCAUUUUGCCCUUUUUGUUUUAUUAUAAAUUCAUUUAGGAUGCAAAAUAUAAUUUUUUAAGAAUCUAGUUCCAAUAAAUCUGUAGAGGUGUAAAAACUAAAAUACAUGUUUGUAAUAUAUUGAAUGUUUUAUUAAAACUAAAAAUGCUAAAUAUAUGGUAUUC
rnacentral:misc_RNA from 1 species